rnacentral:rRNA from 1 species
GAUGAACGCUGGCGGCGUGCCUAAUACAUGCAAGUCGAGCGAACGGACGAGAAGCUUGCUUCUCUGCUGUUAGCGGCGGACGGGUGAGUAACACGUGGAUAACCUACCUAUAGGACUGGGAUAACUUCGGGAAACCGGAGCUAAUACCGGAUAAUAUUUUGAACCGCAUGGUUCAAAAGUGAAAGACGGUCUUGCUGUCGCUUAUAGAUGGAUCCGCGCUGCAUUAGCUAGUUGGUAAGGUAACGGCUUACCAAGGCAACGAUGCAUAGCCGACCUGAGAGGGUGAUCGGCCACACUGGAACUGAGACACGGUCCAGACUCCUACGGGAGGCAGCAGUAGGGAAUCUUCCGCAAUGGGCGAAAGCCUGACGGAGCAACGCCGCGUGAGUGAUGAAGGUCUUAGGAUCGUAAAACUCUGUUAUUAGGGAAGAACAUAUGUGUAAGUAACUGUGCACAUCUUGACGGUACCUAAUAAGAAAGCCACGGCUAACUACGUG